rnacentral:rRNA from 1 species
AUACGGAGGGUGCAAGCGUUAUCCGGAAUCAUUGGGUUUAAAGGGUCCGCAGGCGGAUUAAUAAGUCAGUGGUGAAAUCCUCUCGCUCAACGAGAGAACUGCCAUUGAAACUGUUAGUCUUGAAUUCGGUCGAAGUAGGCGGAGUGUGUCAUGUAGCGGUGAAAUGCAUAGAUAUGACACAGAACACCGAUAGCGAAGGCAGCUUACUAGACCUGGAUUGACGCUCAUGGACGAAAGCGUGGGGAGCGAACAGGAUUAGAUACCCUAGUAGUCC